AUGAUAAAACCGAAGAGAGAUGGAGGAAUAGGAUUUCACGAUAUGCACUUGUUUAACCAAGCAUUAUUAGCACGCCAAGGGUGGAGGUUGAUCCAGUAUCCGGAGAGUCUGUGCGCUAGAGUUUUAAAAUCAAAAUAUUACCACAAGGGAGACCUUCUGGAUACGGUCUUCUCGUCGGACGCGUCCCCUGCUUGGAGAGGCAUAGAAUGUGGUUUG
rnacentral:rRNA from 1 species